rnacentral:lncRNA from 1 species
GUUGGCUGUCAUAGCUCAGUAACUCCUUGAUUACCCAGAGCUCAUUGAUUGAAUGGACUUAGUAUCAGAAAUCAGGUAUAAAGACAUUUAAGAAAAGUAGAUUGUAGUUCUGCAUCUCUAAACAUUUGCUCUUGUAUUUUGUUGUUGUUUGUUUGUUUGUUUGUUUGUUUUUCGAGACAGGGUUUCUCUGUAUAGCCCUGGCUGUCCUGGAACUCACUUUGUAGACCAGGCUGGCCUCGAACUCAGAAAUCCGCCUGCCUCUGCCUCCCAAGUGCUGGGAUUAAAGGCGUUUGCCACCAUGCCUGGCUCAUAUAAGGGUCCAAAGAAUCCUUAGAAAUGGCCUUUGUCGUUUGUCUUCAUUUAUUAUGUUUGUAGUUCUGGCUGGCCAACUCACCAUGUAGAACAAUCUGGCUUCAGUCUGUGAUCCUUGUGCCUCAACCUCUUCAGUGCUGGGAUUACAGGUGUGAGCCACUACAUCUGGUUAGAUCUUUUUCCACUGGCAAUCAACUUAACAGAAAACAUUCAGAUAAAAUAAACAUGUAUUUGAAACAACCUGAAACAACAUUGAGUGAAUGUUGAAUCUGAAGCAUGUUUAUUUAUUACAUAUAUAACCCAACAAUAAAUUAAAGGCGAGUCAAUUGUAACCCACCUUUAAAGCUAGCAGGGAUCAAUGAGCAGGUCAAACAAUGUUCCAAGUCUAGGCUCCUGAGUACAGAGCUAGUGUGUUAUGCACCUAUAAUCUCCAAGGCUGCCUGCUGAUAGCUGUUAUGUAGAAUUUUUCAGGUUUUAAAUUAAAGAGUGUUGUGUAGUUCAGGCUGGCCCUGAAUCAGCUGUGUUCUGUUCCCUGAGAGUCCUGACUGCUGAGAUUGCAGACAAGGGCCACCAUGCCUGACUGAUUUUUUUUUUUUCCCCCUUGUGACAAGGUUUCUCUGUGUAGACUUGUAACCCUGGCUGUCUUAGAACUCAUUCUUCAGACCAGGCUGGCCUCGAACUCAGAGAUCUGUUAAAAGGUGUGUCCACCUGGCUUCUGACUGGGUUUUUUAAAUUACAAAGUAACCAGAGAAGUUAGUAAAUUUUUCUGUAACAGCAAAUAAGUUUUGAUUUGAAAAGUAUAGAGCUGGGCAUGAUGACGCAUGUUGUAAUCUGAGCAUUUGACAGGGAGCUAGAGAGUUUGGGGCCGUAGGCCAGGCUGAGCUAUCUAGUGAGACUCUUUCCUUU